GCGGCGGUCGAAAAAGAGAGAGAGAGAGGACGUAGAAGGCGAAAUCGAAGUUUGAAGCGGCGGUCGAAGUUUGAAGUUGAUAAUCCAAGAUGAGUAAUAUAUCUGAGGGGAGUUCGAGGUAUACAGUGAAGGGGUGCCCCCGUAAGUGUGAAUGUGGAAGCCGAGUUAUAAUGUGGACGUCACGAUCUCCAAACAAUUCGGGUCGGGUAUUCUUCCGUUGUGCUAAACAAGAGGGUAACUAUUGUCAUGUGUUUAAAUGGGUUGAUGAGGCUAUGGUGGAGGAGACAGAGGACUUACAUAAAGAGUUAGAAGAAGUCAUGACAGAACUUAGAAAUCAGAAAGAAGAGUUGGAUACCUACAAAAUGGAGCUGAAAAAAAACACAACCGAGCUGAAAAGUAAUACGGUGGAGAUGGAAAGAAACACGUUGGAGCUGAGAAACAACACAGAAGAGUUAAAAAAACACAAUAGAGCUGGAAAAACACAUAAUGGAGCUCGAAAAUGUCAAAACUAGAAUGGAAGGUCCUAAAGAUAUAAUCAAUAAAUUGGCUGUAAUUGUUGUGGUAUCACUAUGUAUUGUUAGCUAUUAUAAUGUGUUACCAAAG